rnacentral:rRNA from 1 species
CCUACGGGUGGCAGCAGUGGGGAAUAUUGGACAAUGGGGGGAACCCUGAUCCAGCCAUGCCGCGUGUGUGAAGAAGGCUCUCGGGUUGUAAAGCACUUUCAGUGAGGAAGAACGCCUGGUGGUUAAUACCCAUCAGGAAAGACAUCACUCACAGAAGAAGCACCGGCUAACUCCGUGCCAGCAGCCGCGGUAAUACGGAGGGUGCGAGCGUUAAUCGGAAUUACUGGGCGUAAAGCGCGCGUAGGUGGCUUGAUAAGCCGGUUGUGAAAGCCCCGGGCUCAACCUGGGAACGGCAUCCGGAACUGUCAAGCUAGAGUGCAGGAGAGGAAGGUAGAAUUCCCGGUGUAGCGGUGAAAUGCGUAGAGAUCGGGAGGAAUACCAGUGGCGAAGGCGGCCUUCUGGACUGACACUGACGCUGAGGUGCGAAAGCGUGGGUAGCAAACAGGAUUAGAUACCCGGGUAGUC